rnacentral:lncRNA from 1 species
UUUGAUUAGGAAACGUUCGCUAAUCAAACACUAAUCAACAAGUUGCCAAGGAACGUCCUUGGGGCAUUGUAGCAUCGAACAACUGUUGACUGCAUUAAGACUUAGAAAAACCCAAUUCUAUCCUUGCCAACCGCGUGGUCAAGUUUAGAUUAUGCAACUUGAUUAAAUGUGUAUUUGAACAACCUAAGCAAUUACGGACCUAAAUCAUUCAAACAAUAUUACUUAAGCAAUUUAAAAGCAAUGGGCCCUUAUUGAUUCUAAAAGCAAAGUAAUAAUUAUGGAAAAGAUCAGAUUGCAUAAAUAUUGAAACAAACAAGAGUUCAACAAUGGAGUAUUAAACCUCCCAAUUCAUCACAAAUCUGAAUAUUCUCAACUUCAACUAGAAAAGGAUGAAACUAGCCACUCAUGGUGGGCAAAAUACACAAAAGAAAGAAGAGAAAAAGGGAAGAAGCUGCAGAAUUUUUGGAGAGUUUCUGACGAGUUGAGUUGCUGAUCAGAGGAUGGCUUGCUGGUUUGGAGGCUCUCCUUUUAUAGCUGCAGAUUUCCAUCCAUCUAGGGUUUCAAAAUCCCUUUUUGAUUUAGUGUUUGACUCCUCUUUUGACGUUGAAUUUAAUUGCAAUUGGAAUUCCUUGGAUGAGAAGUUCUUUUCGUGGCUCUUGGAUUUGUAUUGAUAGUGAUUGAGUUGGAUUUGGACUUCUGAAAAUUCGGAUUUCUGUUUUCUGCCCAAAUUCCCGCUUUGCUGUCAGUUUCUAUUGUGAAAGUGAUUUGCCCGGUGAUUUGACCAGUUUCUUCAAGUGAUUGGGCAAAUCACAGACCCGAUCACGUUUCUGCGA